GCUUGUGGGAUCCUAAGUGGUAACUCAAGUCUAGAUGUGAAAGAAGCGCUCGUGUAGACUGACGCAUAUAUCCUCCAAAACAUUGAAGGCGACGAGCGCCUCUGUGAUGAUUCCUGUCGUCGCAUCAAUUGCAUCCUAUCGCUGUUUGACAAAAUGCCAAGGCGGGAGCGGAUGGUGUAAGAGGAGGUUGAGCGUGGACUAUCAUGUCGCAUCUACAUCUGAUGCCUAAAGAUUGAAGCAGCAGCACCUGCAGGGUAUUGGCGCAGACAUUGAACAAGGUUGGAAGAGGUCGUCGGCCUCCACGCUCAAGUUCUCAAAACGCACCUCGACCUUGGGAACUUGAAUCCCCAACUUAACCAUAAAACAUCACUUGGAGGAACUCCUCGUCGUCCGCAUGGUGAAGGGGGGCCUCUUGCCGUUCCAUGCUUGUGGAUCUCGUCUUCCUUCUGCCACUUCAACUUCGGGUUGUGCUACCAAGUAAGCCUGGUGUUGAUGUGCUGUUUUAGCGUGGCUCAGAUAUAUAGAGUGGAAGAGCAACGUGAGCUAGUAGUAGUAGCAUGGGAACGGUGUAAAGGAGUACCAGAACUGAAUCGGAAUCGAAUCAGGUCAAUAGUUCGAUGAUAUCGAAUCAGAUGAGAAGCGGGGUCAUACGGUUCGAUUCUGAUUUCUAGAAAUUAGGAUGUAAAUCGGUAUGGUAGAAUCUAAAGCUCUGAUUUCAGUUCUUAGUGGAAAGGACGCUGUUCCACACCCACUGUCUCUAUUCAUAGUCUCAACGCAGCAGUAGUUGAUUCGAUUGUUCAUCCAUGUGGGUGACAUGACACAAUUCCAAUCACGAUAGAUUUCUUGGAGCAUGGCGAAGAUUGAGAUCAGAUCUGGUUCACCAAGUCUCACAAGAAUGUUCCAUCGUGCAGUAAUCCAAAUGAACGUGGCAUGGAAAGACACGAGGGACCAACCCAGGGUAAGAACAGGAGCCUAUUACAGUCCUUUUCAAUCAAAUGAACCAUUAAUGGUUUGUUUUGUCAUCA